AAAAAAAUUAAAUUCAUCCUUAGCACAAGACUUACUCAAACAUGAUUCUAAAGCAUAAUUUCUUCCAGCUCUCUUCUUUCAACAACCAUUAAUCGAUUUGCAAUUCAAAAUUUCAGGGAGAGUUUUUCUCAAAAAUAUAUGAUGUUGGUGACGAAUUGACAAAUGCACUGGAGGAAUGUGAUUUUUUAUCAAAGAUGAUCCAGAAGAUCCAAGCAUGAAAGAUGCAUCUGUUUUUGUCUAAUUCUAUACCGUAUGUAAAUG
rnacentral:misc_RNA from 1 species